rnacentral:rRNA from 1 species
CAGCCGCCGCGGGAAUACGAAGGGGGCUAGCGUUGUUCGGAAUUACUGGGCGUAUAGCGCACGUAGGCGGAUAUUUAAGUCAGGGGUGAAAUCCCAGAGCUCAACUCUGGAACUGCCUUUGAUACUGGGUAUCUUGAGUAUGGAAGAGGUGAGUGGAAUUCCGAGUGUAGAGGUGAAAUUCGUAGAUAUUCGGAGGAACACCAGUGGCGAAGGCGGCUCACUGGUCCAUUACUGACGCUGAGGUGCGAAAGCGUGGGGAGCAAACAGGAUUAGAUACCCCGUGUAGUCCCUGUCUCUUAUA